UGGAUCAGGUAAAGAAGUUCAUAGUAAGAGCUAGUUAGACAUGUCAGGGUGUUAGAGGUGUUAGGAGAGGAGGUGCUCUCUGAAAAGACAAGGCUUCAACAGAUUGCUGACGAUAGAGAGGUGACUACACACCUCCCAGCCUCACAAGUCCACAUGUCAGUAUUCCAGACCACUACAAACUUUCUGGGAGCGUUUCAAUUACAGUGGUCCAAGAGACGAGCCUUGUGGUACACCAAGGAAGACGCAUCACCCAUAACAGCUGAGUUCUGACAGAAAAGAAGAUCGAAGAGACAAGAGGAGAGGACUUCUACGGCUUAGUGCUGAGACGCCUCUUUCCAAAUGUCACGACACCGCCACCCCAUCGAGCGAACAUCUUACAAUAUACCUACUGCGUCUUUGUGUGGUGCUUUGCUGCCGAGGAAUAAAGGAGCAGAGAGCAAACACGAUGUGAGCCGACGCCGACAGCAGCGACGACAACCAGGCGAGGUUCCCAACCUGUGGGCCAGGGGCCGCUGGAGGGCCGCUGAAGGGCCGC